rnacentral:rRNA from 1 species
GAUGAACGCUGGCGGCGUGCCUAAUACAUGCAAGUCGAGCGAACAGAUAAGGAGCUUGCUCCUUUGACGUUAGCGGCGGGCGGGUGAGUAACACGUGGGUAACCUACCUAUAAGACUGGAAUAACUCCGGGAAACCGGGGCUAAUGCCGGAUAACAUUUAGAACCGCAUGGUUCUAAAGUGAAAGAUGGUUUUGCUAUCACUUAUAGAUGGACCCGCGCCGUAUUAGCUAGUUGGUAAGGUAACGGCUUACCAAGGCAACGAUACGUAGCCGGCCUGAGAGGGUGAUCGGCCACACUGGAACUGAGACACGGUCCAGACUCCUACGGGAGGCAGCAGUAGGGAAUCUUCCGCAAUGGGCGAAAGCCUGACGGAGCAACGCCGCGUGAGUGAUGAAGGUCUUCGGAUCGUAAAACUCUGUUGUUAGGGAAGAACAAAUGUGUAAGUAACUGUGCACGUCUUGACGGUACCUAAUCAGAAAGCCACGGCUAACUACGUG